CACGUAGGGCGCAAGCGUUGUCCGGAAUUAUUGGGCGUAAAGAGCUCGUAGGCGGUCUGUCGCGUCUGCUGUGAAAACUGGAGGCUCAACCUCCAGCCUGCAGUGGGUACGGGCAGACUAGAGUGCGGUAGGGGAGAUUGGAAUUCCUGGUGUAGCGGUGGAAUGCGCAGAUAUCAGGAGGAACACCGAUGGCGAAGGCAGAUCUCUGGGCCGUAACUGACGCUGAGGAGCGAAAGCGUGGGGAGCGAACAGG
rnacentral:rRNA from 1 species